AAAACUUCAGGGUUUGUUGGUGAAACUUUUCCCAUUAUUGUUGAUCUGCAACUUGGCUUGAAAUGCACCCUCCAUCGAUCCCUCUUGUCUCAUAAGCCUUCGCUGCUCUUGUGCCUUCAAAGCAUGCAAAACUUCUGCCAAAGUUAUGUUGGAUAGAUCCUUUGUGUUCUCCAAAGUUGUUAUAGUGGAAUCAUAUUUUUCCGGCACUGUCACAAGAAUUUUUUGUACAAUGCUUGAGUCUGCAAAUUCAGUGCCUAAUAAUCUCACCUUGUUAGCAAUGGCAAGUAGUUUGUCUGAGUACUCU
rnacentral:lncRNA from 1 species